UACGUAGGGUGCGAGCGUUGUCCGGAAUUAUUGGGCGUAAAGAGCUUGUAGGCGGUUUGUCGCGUCUGCCGUGAAAGCCCAGGGCUUAACCCUGGGUCUGCGGUGGGUACGGGCAGACUAGAGUGUGGUAGGGGAGACUGGAAUUCCUGGUGUAGCGGUGAAAUGCGUAGAUAUCAGGAGGAACACCGAUGGCGAAGGCAGGUCUCUGGGCCACUACUGACGCUGAGAAGCGAAAGCAUGGGGAGCAAACAGG
rnacentral:rRNA from 1 species